ACUGCUCAGUAACACGUGGCUAAUCUGCCCUUAGGACGAGAACAACCCCGGGAAACUGGGGCUAACUCUUGAUAGGCGAAGAACUCUGGAAUGAGUCUUUACCUAAAAAGAUUCACGUUAUCCUCGUGAACCUGCCUAAGGAUGAGGCCGCGACCGAUCAGGUUGUUGGCGAGGUAAUGGCUCACCAAGCCUUUUACCGGUGCGGGCCGUGGGAGCGGGAGCCCGGAGAUGGGUACUGAGACAAGGACCCAGGCCCUACGGGGCGCAGCAGUCGCGAAACCUUUGCAAUACACGAAAGUGUGACAGGGCUAUCCCGAGUGCCAUCCGCUGAGGAAGGCUUUUACCCAGUCUAGAACGCUGGGGGAAUAAGGAGAGGGCAAGUCUGGUGUCAGCCGCCGCGGUAAUACCAGCUCUCCGAGUGGUGUGGAUGUUUAUUGGGCCUAAAGCAUCCGUAGCUGGCUAGGUAAGUCCCUUGUUAAAUCCACCGAAUUAAUCGUUGGAUCGCGGGGGAUACUGCUUGGCUAGGGGACGAGAGAGGCAGACGGUAUUCUCGGGGUAGGGGUGAAAUCCUAUAAUCCCGGGAAGACCACCAGUGGCGAAGGCUGUCUGCUAGAACGCGCCCGACGGUGAGGGAUGAAAGCUGGGGGAGCGAACCGGAUUAGAUACCCGGGUAGUCCCAGCUGUAAACGAUGCAGACUAGGUGUUUGAACGGGCCACGUGCCGUUCUAGUGCCGCAGGAAGCUGUUAAGUCUGCCGCCUGGGGAGUACGAUCGCAGAUUGAACUUAAAGGAAUUGGCGGGGGAGCAC
rnacentral:rRNA from 1 species